AAUAGAUACCAGGUAGUCCACGCCGUAAACGUUGGGCGCUAGGUGUGGGGUCCGUUCCACGGGUUCCGUGCCGCAGCUAACGCAUUAAGCGCCCCGCCUGGGGAGUACGGCCGCAAGGCUAAAACUCAAAGGAAUUGACGGGGGCCCGCACAAGCGGCGGAGCAUGCGGAUUAAUUCGAUGCAACGCGAAGAACCUUACCAAGGCUUGACAUGGGCGGUAAUCCGGUAGAGAUGUCGGGUCCGUAAGGGCCGUUCACAGGUGGUGCAUGGUUGUCGUCAGCUCGUGUCGUGAGAUGCUGGGUUAAGUCCCGCAACGAGCGCAACCCUUGUUCCAUGUUGCCAGCACUUCGGGUGGGGACUCAUGGGAGACUGCCGGGGUCAACUCGGAGGAAGGUGGGGAUGACGUCAAAGUCAUCAUGCCCCUUAUGUCUUGGGCUUCACGCAUGCUACAAUGGCCAGUACAAAGGGCUGCGAGACCGUGAGGUGGAGCGAAUCCCAAAAAGCUGGUCUCAGUUCGGAUCGGGGUCUGCAACUGACCCCGU
rnacentral:rRNA from 1 species